UUUAAAUGGCCGCAGUACCUUGACUGUGCUAAGGUAGCAUAAUCAAUUGGCUUCUAAUUAAAGUCUGGAAUGAAAGGAAAUAUGAAGUAAUUCUAUCUUAAAGGAUUUUUUUUGAAUUUAUUUAAAUGAUGAAAAUAUCAUUUUAUAGAAAAAAGACGAGAAGACCCUUAGAGUUUUGAUAUUUAUAUAUUUUUGUUGGGGCGACAGGUAAACAUAUAACUUUACGAAUUAUCAUUGAUCGAUUAUUUAUAAGAAUAAUAAAACUACCUUAGGGAUAACAGCAUUAUAUUUUUUUAUGAUUGUGACCUC
rnacentral:rRNA from 1 species